GACGAACGCUGGCGGCAUACCUAACACAUGCAAGUCGAGCGAGUAGAUCCCUUCGGGGUGAAGCUAGCGGCGGACGGGUGAGUAACACGUGGGCAACCUGCCUCAUAGAGGGGAAUAGCCUUCCGAAAGGAAGAUUAAUACCGCAUAAGAUUGUAGUACCGCAUGGUAUAGCAAUUAAAGGAGCAAUCCGCUAUGAGAUGGGCCCGCGGCGCAUUAGCUAGUUGGUGAGGUAACGGCUCACCAAGGCGACGAUGCGUAGCCGACCUGAGAGGGUGAUCGGCCACAUUGGGACUGAGACACGGCCCAGACUCCGACGGGAGGCAGCAGUGGGGAAUAUUGCACAAUGGGGGAAACCCUGAUGCAGCAAUGCCGCGUGAGUGAUGACGGCCUUCGGGUUGUAAAGCUCUGUCUUCGGGGACGAUAAUGACGGUACCCGAGGAGGAAGCCACGGCUAACUACGUGCCAGCCGCCGCCGUAA
rnacentral:rRNA from 1 species